rnacentral:rRNA from 1 species
AGGCGAUGAAGGGCGUGCUAAUCUGCGAUAAGCGCCGGUAAGGUGAUAUGAACCGUUAUAACCGGCGAUACCCGAAUGGGGAAACCCAGUGUGACUCGUCACACUAUCAUUAACUGAAUCCAUAGGUUAAUGAGGCGAACCGGGGGAACUGAAACAUCUAAGUACCCCGAGGAAAAGAAAUCAACCGAGAUUCCCCCAGUAGCGGCGAGCGAACGGGGAGGAGCCCAGAGCCUGAAUCAGCAUGUGUGUUAGUGGAAGCGUCUGGAAAGGCGCGCGAUACAGGGUGACAGCCCCGUACACAAAAGCGCAUGUGCUGUGAGCUCGAUGAGUAGGGCGGGACACGUGGUAUCCUGUCUGAAUAUGGGGGGACCAUCCUCCAAGGCUAAAUACUCCUGACUGACCGAUAGUGAACCAGUACCGUGAGGGAAAGGCGAAAAGAACCCCGGCGAGGGGAGUGAAAAAGAACCUGAAACCGUGUACGUACAAGCAGUGGGAGCCCCACCACCAAAGCAUUUGCUGUACCGCGUUGACGGAGCGAAGCGACGUCAAACCGAUAAAACAGCAGUGUAAAGUGAGCCGCAGGGCGCUUUGCGCGACAGCGCAAAGGCAGGCGGUUUCGCGUAGCGAAAGCGAAUGCUUUGGGGUGGGGUGACUGCGUACCUUUUGUAUAAUGGGUCAGCGACUUAUAUUCUGUAGCAAGGUUAACCGAAUAGGGGAGCCGGAGGGAAACCGAGUCUUAAUUGGGCGUUAAGUUGCAGGGUAUAGACCCGAAACCCGGUGAUCUAGCCAUGGGCAGGUUGAAGGUUGGGUAACACUAACUGGAGGACCGAACCGACUAAUGUUGAAAAAUUAGCGGAUGACCUGUGGCUGGGGGUGAAAGGCCAAUCAAACCGGGAGAUAGCUGGUUCUCCCCGAAAGCUAUUUAGGUAGCGCCUCGUGAAUUCAUCUCCGGGGGUAGAGCACUGUUUCGGCUAGGGGGCCAUCCCGGCUUACCAACCCGAUGCAAACUGCGAAUACCGGAGAAUGUUAUCACGGGAGACACACGGCGGGUGCUAACGUCCGUCGUGAAGAGGGAAACAACCCAGACCGCCAGCUAAGGUCCCAAAGUCAUGGUUAAGUGGGAAACGAUGUGGGAAGGCCCAGACAGCCAGGAUGUUGGCUUAGAAGCAGCCAUCAUUUAAAGAAAGCGUAAUAGCUCACUGGUCGAGUCGGCCUGCGCGGAAGAUGUAACGGGGCUAAACCAUGCACCGAAGCUGCGGCAGCGACACUGUGUGUUGUUGGGUAGGGGAGCGUUCUGUAAGCCUGUGAAGGUGUGUCGUGAGGC